GACGAACGCUGGCGGCGUGCUUAACACAUGCAAGUCGAACGAAAAGGCCCUGCUUUUGUGGGGUGCUCGAGUGGCGAACGGGUGAGUAACACGUGAGUAACCUGCCCUUGACUUUGGGAUAACUUCAGGAAACUGGGGCUAAUACCGGAUAGGAGCUCCUGCUGCAUGGUGGGGGUUGGAAAGUUUCGGCGGUUGGGGAUGGACUCGCGGCCUAUCAGCUUGUUGGUGGGGUAGUGGCUUACCAAGGCUUUGACGGGUAGCCGGCCUGAGAGGGUGACCGGCCACAUUGGGACUGAGAUACGGCCCAGACUCCUACGGGAGGCAGCAGUGGGGAAUAUUGCACAAUGGGCGGAAGCCUGAUGCAGCAACGCCGCGUGCGGGAUGACGGCCUUCGGGUUGUAAACCGCUUUCGCCUGUGACGAAGCGUGAGUGACGGUAAUGGGUAAAGAAGCACCGGCUAACUACGUG
rnacentral:rRNA from 1 species